rnacentral:rRNA from 1 species
AUUGAACGCUAGCGGGAUGCUUUACACAUGCAAGUCGAACGGCAGCGCGGACUUCGGUCUGGCGGCGAGUGGCGAACGGGUGAGUAAUGUAUCGGAACGUGCCCAGUAGCGGGGGAUAACUACGCGAAAGCGUAGCUAAUACCGCAUACGCCCUACGGGGGAAAGCAGGGGAUCGUAAGACCUUGCACUAUUGGAGCGGCCGAUAUCGGAUUAGCUAGUUUGUGAGGUAACGGCUCACCAAGGCGACGAUCCGUGGCUGGUUUGAGAGGACGACCAGCCACACUGGGACUGAGACACGGCCCAGACUCCUACGGGAGGCAGCAGUGGGGAAUUUUGGACAAUGGGGGCAACCCUGAUCCAGCCAUCCCGCGUGUGCGAUGAAGGCCUUCGGGUUGUAAAGCACUUUUGGCAGGAAAGAAACGUCGCGGGCUAAUACCCCGUGGAACUGACGGUACCUGCAGAAUAAGCACCGGCUAACUACGU